rnacentral:rRNA from 1 species
ACCAGACUCCUACGGGAGGCAGCAGUGGGGGAUAUUGCACAAUGGGGGGGACCCUGAUGCAGCGACGCCGCGUGGGUGAAGGAGCGUUUCGGCGCGUAAAGCCCUAUCGGCAGGGAAGAAGGAGGACGGUACCUGACUAAGAAGCCCCGGCUAACUACGUGCCAGCAGCCGCGGUAAUACGUAGGGGGCAAGCGUUAUCCGGAUUUACUGGGUGUAAAGGGGGCGCAGACGGCAGCGCAAGCCAGGAGUGAAAGCCCGGGGCCCAACCCCGGGACUGCCCUUGGAACUGCAUGGCUGGAGUGCGGGAGGGGCAGGCGGAAUUCCUGGUGUAGCGGUGAAAUGCGUAGAUAUCAGGAGGAACACCGGCGGCGAAGGCGGCCUGCUGGACCGCGACUGACGUUGAGGCUCGAAAGCGUGGGGAGCGAACAGGAUUAGAUACCCGUGUAA